rnacentral:rRNA from 1 species
CACGAACGCUGGCGGCAGGCUUAACACAUGCAAGUCGAACGGGUGCAGCAAUGCAUCAGUGGCAGACGGGUGAGUAACACGUGGGAACCUUCCUAGGGGUACGGAACAACUCAGGGAAACUUGAGCUAAUACCGUAUACGUCCGUGAGGAGAAAGAUUUAUCGCCCUUAGACGGGCCCGCGUCGGAUUAGCUAGUUGGUGGGGUAACGGCCUACCAAGGCGACGAUCCGUAGCUGAUCUUAGAGGAUGAUCAGCCACACUGGGACUGAGACACGGCCCAGACUCCUACGGGAGGCAGCAGUGGGGAAUCUUGGACAAUGGGCGCAAGCCUGAUCCAGCCAUGCCGCGUGAGUGAAGAAGGUCUUCGGAUUGUAAAGCUCUUUUGCCAGGGACGAUAAUGACGGUACCUGGAGAAUAAGCCCCGGCUAACUUCGUGCCAGCCGCCGCGGUAACAC